rnacentral:misc_RNA from 1 species
GAAAUGCGAUAAGUAGUGUGAAUUGCAGAAUUUAGCGAAUCAUCGAAUCUUUGAACGCACAUUGCGCCCCUUGGUAUUCCAUGGGGCAUGCCUGUUCGAGCGUCAUUUCAACCCUCAAGCACUGCUUGGUGUUGGGCGUUUGUCCCGCCUACGCGCGUGGACUCGCCUCAAAGUCAUUGGCGGCUGUUCCCCUUCGGCUCGUAAGCGCAGCACAGUCGGCGCCCGGAGCUCUGGUGGGAUGGCAUCCAGCAAGCUAUAUUUUCAGGCUUGACCUCGGAUCAGGUAGGGAUACCCGCUGAACUUAAGC